AGCAGACCCUUGAACACAAAGGUACUGAAGGAGGGACCCUGGAGGGGAAGGGGAUUAAUGGAGCCACCGAGGCAAGUGACCCAGCACUUCUUGACUUUCCUCCAACAGCACCCCAGGGGACCUCGAGUAGCUGUUGGAAAAGCCAGAGACCCGCCAAGAGCUGUGAAAUCAGCCGCGUAAGUUAAGGUGCCUGUCUGUUCAUGUUUGUUUACAGAAUGUUACUCAUUCUGUGACAGAGAACAAGAAAAAGUCACAUAUAUAUAUAUAUACAUAUAUAUAUACUUUAUAUAUAUAUAUAUAUAUUUUUUUUUUUUUUCCAGGACAGAAAAGAAAAUAAAAGUGGAGAUGAUCUCCGAUUGAAGUGUAACUGGGCGUUCCGCAUUUUUAUUUGCUAAAUCCGACAAUCCUCGGAGAAAGUAUGUAGUAAUUCCGGUUCCUCCCCGGUGGCCACGGCGUGUUCUGGGAGAAGCAACUGAACCCACCGGGCGAUUGGUCCAGCCCUUGCUUGCAGAAGCAGACUCAGUGAUGCCAGCACCAACUGGCCAGGGUCCCCUCCCCCGAAGUCUGAGCCCCAGCAUCCCAGACCCUCCUCCAAGUUCAGAGACUCUGGCCUCAGUCGAGCAGUGCCCC
rnacentral:lncRNA from 1 species